UGGGGAUUUUCCUUCUGGCACACAGGUCAGCAAACACACUGGGUAUUUGCAGCAAAGAAAUAAGGAGCUUGGUGCUACUGGGGUAAUGCUGGUGGCUCAGAGAAGGAAAAAGGAAAGGAGCUUUGGGAAAAGGAUCAGAAGCUACAGAAUAAGCAGCAAACGAAAGAGAAAAAGAGCCGUGUGAGAUGCUACGGUUUUGCGGUACAACUGCUCCAGCAAUGACAAGUCAUAAGCUCACAUCUGCCUCCCAUUCCAGGAGUAAACCCGUGCACAGAAAAGUCCUCCAACUGUUUCUAUGUGUCCCCUCCUCAGUUGAGAACUAAUUUUCCCCAGUGUGUCGAGAAGCAUACUGCCUCCACCAAAGCACCUACACGAAGUCACAUGUGAAUCUUUAUCGUACAAGAACCAUAUGCACUCUGAGGAGGGGAGAUGGUGACGAACCAGAAUAUAACAAGAACACAGGCACUUGACCCCAUGAGAGCAGAGAGUGUCUGUGGUUCUGAGGAACUAUUUCUCUGUGUUAUGAGGAGAACUUUGGCUCAUCCCUCACUUGAUGCUUCUUUGUGUUGAAGGAAAAAAACAAAAAACCUGUUAAUGAAGACCAGUGAAGCAGCUACGUGGUGUGGAGGAACGCUAGGCAGUGUAAAGACACAGGCACCAGAACUGCCAACGCCUGUGGGCAGACAGUGGCCUCGGAAAGGUUCAUGGCCUUUCUGGUGUGGAACUCAGAAUCAGAAAGCUCUGGGUCUGAUUCUGGCCUUUCUAGUUACCACCCUAUGAUGUUGGGCCAUGGUACAUUUUGAGUGACAGCUCCCUUGUGGCCAAAUGACAGUACCUAAGGAUUUGAUGUCCUAUCGAAGGUGGCGAACGCAUUACACUGGUAGUGUUACAACUGCUGCCCCAGCAUUCUUUGAGACCAGCGCUUUCUGUUUCUGAAAGAGGGGCAAUUGUACUUGCUUCUUCUGCUUCACUUUCCAAACAGUACCAUUGCUAGCAAACGAUGUGUAUGGAACAGCACUUUAUAAAAUGUGACGUACAUGUAAGAACACAAGGUCACUGCAACGACAACUUGGGAAUGAGCUGUAUAGUCCUGCCUGUCAUUAGAAGUAAUAGGGAUAUAUUAAUCUUCUUGAAAAAAAAUUGAAUAACAAUCAAUUCCUAAUGGUCUUCAUAUCCAGCCGAAGAAAACAAACUGUUCUAUACAUUCCUGGAACCCGAGUUCUUUUUUCCAUAAUAUAAUUGGAACCCCUAAGGAUUCAUUUAGUUCAUGGUCUAAAGAAAAAACAACAAAGCCGAACCAAAGGGAAGGCUGGUUUCACGGACUGUCCACAAGACUGGGGAAUUGGCCCUACAGCACAAUGUAAUAAAGAGGCUUACAAAUUGAGUCCUCCGGGAAGGAUACAACUAUAUUUGUUGCAUGUGGGUACCAGAGCAGAGAAGUUUGCCUCUUCUGUUCUUUGAGUGCCACAUGCAUAAAUUUGUAGACUGUCAUUCCCUUUAACUCAAAACACUGGUGAACAAACAGUUGGAGCAAAGCCACUUGAGAACAUGACAAGCCACAGCACUCAGAACACUGCCAAUCUCCCAUUGCUCAAACAAGUCCUUUAACUACGGACCUAACUGUUGCUAAGGAGGCUUCAAAUCAUUCUCUCAAGCACUUCCUCUCCACCUCAAGAAGAGCUAAGUAUAAUUCCCCGACAGAUUCCACUCAGGUCAAUGAAGAGUUGGCUUUCAUACUGUGCAGUUAGCUGCUGUGCACAGGUUGCUAAGUUGUUGCUGAGCAUAGUACACCUCUAUUAGUGUGAAGCAUAGGCCUCAUGGCCAACAUCUGGAAUGACCUUAGAGAGCCUUUACGAUUGAAUGGAGAUGCUUAGUAUAUGAGCCAGCUGCAGGCCUGGGUGGAGGGUCAGGUAGCCUAAGACUGGGCUGUACCCUUCCCAGCGACAGGGUUACAGACACAAUUCCGCUCCUCUGAACCUUUGGUAUUUUCCUCUGAAAACAGAGAGAGUUCAAGGCAGAUAACAUCAAAGUUAUUUUCUGUCUUCUCACAUUCCACAUUUAGAAGCAAGUAAAAUCAAACCUGUUAGUGUUUAAUGAGGGCACAGAAAACAGGUUAACACAGCGGGUCCCACAGAUGUAGAUCCUACAAGCAAAAGCUCAGCUUUUGCUGCGGCUGAAAGGAAUUAGAAGAAUAUUUUGGCUUCCAAAGUGGGCAAAGAUUUGGUUUGGAUUUCUCUCCAAAAAGACAGCAUGUCUCAGCAGUGGAAACGAUGCCAGUAGCCACAGGCUGGGUCAUUGCCUUCAGUGAGGUCCAGCAGGCACAACACAAAUUUCUUAAUUGCCAGCACUGUAACCUUUACUACACCUUGUUUUUCUUGGGGGCUCUCCUGGUCAGGUAACCUGGGUUACAUCCAACAUAAUUUAUAAAAUUUGAGGCCUUUCCCAAUAUAGGUAAGAUUACAUGCUAUUUUAGGAAACCUCCUGGGGGAUGAGGAAAUGUGUUGUUUUCCUUUUAAAUAUUAUACUGCGUAUCAAUUCCAAACGCUAACCAAGCUUUUAAAGAAAAACAUGAGUUCCCUAAAAAUAGCUCGUUUACAAUGCCUCACAGAUUCGGGUGUUUUCUGCACAGGGCAUAACUUGCUUAGCAUGCAAUUAGAAACAAAAUAACAUUUGUGGAUCAUAUCUACAAGGUUAAGAAAAACUAUAUGUAAAUGCCCUCCAAGGACUAAAGAAAUGGUAAUUAAUGUAAGCUGGUUUAUUAUUUUAAAGUUGUACUCUUGAAAAUGGAUCAAAUGAGUUUUAAUGUCAGAUUAAAAGAAAACUUUUGGUAAAUCAAGCAUAAAAAUCUAAAGACACAACUGUGGUCUUAAGUUUUCUCUGAGUAUUUUCCCCUCCUCUUUCUCUUCCUUGUCCGCUUCUUCUCCCUCUUUUUCUUCUUGUUUUUUGUUUUGUUUAUGUUUUUAUUGAGAUAGGUUUCUCUGUGUAGCCUUGGGUGUCUUAGAACUUCCUCUUAAACUCAGAGACCAGCCUGCCUCUGCCUCCUGGGAUUAAAGACAUGCGCCAUCACCGCUGGGCAGUGGUUUUGGCUUCUUGCAUUUAUUCCAGUCUUGACAAAUGACACUACAAAGUACCAAGUCUACUUUUUUUUUUUUUUUUUUUUUGAGGUAGUCUCACUUUGCUGCCCAGGCUGACCCAGAACUCACUAUGUAACUCAGGCUGGCUUCAAACUCAAGGCAGUCUUCUUGCCUCAGCCUCUUAAGUGUUAGGUUUACAAGCCUGAGGCACAAUGAUGAGGUGCUUUUUACUUUAAUUAAUAUCUCUCUAUAUAUAUGUGUGUUCAUGUGGGUAAGUAUGGACUUUCGCAUGCUAUAGCAUACGUGAGGAGGUCAGACAAGUUCAUCUGUCUGUCCUUGCCGUCUACCUUGGCUUAUCUGAUUUUAGUUUUUGAGACAGGCUCUCACUAUGUAGCCCUGGCCAGCCUGGAACUCACUGUAGAGCAGGCUGGCCUUGUACUCACAGAAACGAGCCUGUUUCUCAAGCACUAGGAUUACAGUAUGAGACCUACCCCGCAGUUCGACCUUGUUCAAGUCAAUCUUGCUGGCAGCUACACAUACUAGCUGGCCUGCAAGAUUCUGGGCAUUCUCCUGCCUCCAGUUCCCAUCUUACUACGGGAAUGGUGGGAUCAUAGAUGCAGGCUACCACGUCUAUCUUCUCAUGGGCUUUGGGACCUGCACCCAGGCCUUCAUGCUUGCAUAGCAAACACCUUAUUCGGAGCCACCUCACUAGCUGUGGCCACUUUUUGAACUUCAGUUUCUACAUUUCUUUCCCAGGCUAUUCUUUCUAUUUCUUUCUUCUCCUACCAUAGUUUUUAACUAUGUCAUGACUCAGUGGGCGCCCUCGGCUAUUCUCCCUUUCAGUAUGUCUCCCUUACAUCCCCGCCUUUGGAUUUGGCAGGCUCCUAGCUCUGCGCGGCUGACUUUCUAAUCUUGACCACUAACCCUUAAUCAUCUCGUGUCAGUUUCAAAUUUUAUUUUUUAUUAAUUUGUUUCUCAAUUUUUUAUCCCCCUUAUUACCUCAAGCUUGAAAACUGUAUAAAACUGAUUUGUACUGAAAAAAAAAGCACUAAAAUUUGUAAAGAUAUUGAAACUGUAAGUUUCAGUGUGUUAGUAAUGAUUUCUAGAAUACAUAUAUAUGUAUGUUGUGUGCAUAUGUGUGUAUGUACAGCAUGUUUCCCAGUCCUUUCUGUACCUUGAAAGGGCUGAGAAGUACAAACACCACAAUAUUAAUGAGCACAAGCAUGUAGAGAACCUGGUAGCUAAUACUAUUUCUACUUAAAGAGAACUGGAGAUUUUUAGAGAAAUGGAUGACUUGAGUGCUGAGGCAAAACAAGAACAAGAUAUGUCUAGCAUAUCUUAUCAUGGAAAAAAGUAAAACAAUACUAAAACAUGAUAAGGGUAUUAUUACACAAAACAUACCAGCUACAAAAGGGAUAAUAUGAAUAUUAAAAAUAACUCAAUAUAUUACUGACCACUGAAAAGAAUAGAUAUCUAUGAGUCUAAACUGGUAAAAGAUGAUGGAUGGAUGGA